GCGCGGUUGGCGUAGUGGUCUAGCGCGUCACUCGAUUUGAGUAGUAGGGUUGAAAUUCCCGUCGAACCACAGUCAAAGACCGAGUUUCAGAGGGCAAUCAGAACACAAAUAUCCUGAUGAAGACCCGGGUUCGAAUCCCGGACCGCGCA